rnacentral:rRNA from 1 species
UAAGCGCACGUAGGCGGACUGGAAAGUCAGAGGUGAAAUCCCAGGGCUCAACCUUGGAACUGCCUUUGAAACUCCCAGUCUUGAGGUCGAGAGAGGUGAGUGGAAUUCCGAGUGUAGAGGUGAAAUUCGUAGAUAUUCGGAGGAACACCAGUGGCGAAGGCGGCUCACUGGCUCGAUACUGACGCUGAGGUGCGAAAGCGUGGGGAGCAAACAGGAUUAGAUACCCCUGU